UGUACAGGAAAAUGACCUAUGAAUUGACAGACAACGUGACUAAGUCUGUCUGUCAUUUCUGUAGGCCAAUGUUCUGUAU
ensembl:miRNA